CUAAGAACACCUCAGUAUCAGUGAGCCCUCUGGUGAAAUAGUGGAGGGCAGUUCAGUGACACUGACCUGCAGCAGUGAUGCCAACCCACCAGUGCAGAACUACACCUGGUAUAAGAAGAAUGACACUGGAGUCUGGCAGGCAGGAUCUGGACAGAGUUUUAACUUUUCUAACUUUAGAUCCUGGAACAGAGGAGAAUACUACUGUGAGGCACAGAACAGACUUGGAGCUCAGAAUGCUACUGCUCUACAGGUCACAGUGCAAGGAGGUCAGUCAUUGAUCAUGGCUGCAGCUGUGGGAGUGGCUGAAAUUUUGGCUCUUGUGUUUCUGUGUGUGUGCCUGAGGAGGAGAAAAUCAACAAAUGAGACAGAAGGGGACAGGCAGGUGAGUUAA